AAUACAUGCAAGUCGAACGAACUCUGGUAUUGAUUGGUGCUUGCAUCAUGAUUUACAUUUGAGUGAGUGGCGAACUGGUGAGUAACACGUGGGAAACCUGCCCAGAAGCGGGGGAUAACACCUGGAAACAGAUGCUAAUACCGCAUAACAACUUGGACCGCAUGGUCCGAGUUUGAAAGAUGGCUUCGGCUAUCACUUUUGGAUGGUCCCGCGGCGUAUUAGCUAGAUGGUGGGGUAACGGCUCACCAUGGCAAUGAUACGUAGCCGACCUGAGAGGGUAAUCGGCCACAUUGGGACUGAGACACGGCCCAAACUCCUACGGGAGGCAGCAGUAGGGAAUCUUCCACAAUGGACGAAAGUCUGAUGGAGCAACGCCGCGUGAGUGAAGAAGGGUUUCGGCUCGUAAAACUCUGUUGUUAAAGAAGAACAUAUCUGAGAGUAACUGUUCAGGUAUUGACGGUAUUUAACCAGAAAGCCACGGCUAACUACGUGCCAGCAGCCGCGGUAAUACGUAGGUGGCAAGCGUUGUCCGGAUUUAUUGGGCGUAAAGCGAGCGCAGGCGGUUUUUUAAGUCUGAUGUGAAAGCCUUCGGCUCAACCGAAGAAGUGCAUCGGAAACUGGGAAACUUGAGUGCAGAAGAGGACAGUGGAACUCCAUGUGUAGCGGUGAAAUGCGUAGAUAUAUGGAAGAACACCAGUGGCGAAGGCGGCUUUCUGGACUGUAACUGACGCUGAGGCUCGAAAGUGUGGGUAGCAAACAGGAUUAGAUACCCUGGUAGUCCACACCGUAAACGAUGAAUGCUAAGUGUUGGAGGGUUUCCGCCCUUCAGUGCCGCAGCUAACGCAUUAAGCAUUCCGCCUGGGGAGUACGGCCGCAAGGCUGAAACUCAAAGGAAUUGACGGGGGCCCGCACAAGCGGUGGAGCAUGUGGUUUAAUUCGAAGCUACGCGAAGAACCUUACCAGGUCUUGACAUCCCUUGCAAAUUUCAGAGAUUGAACGUUCCCUUCGGGGACAUGGAUACAGGUGGUGCAUGGUUGUCGUCAGCUCGUGUCGUGAGAUGUUGGGUUAAGUCCCGCAACGAGCGCAACCCUUAUUAUUAGUUGCCAGCAUUAAGUUGGGCACUCUGGUGAGACUGCCGGUGACAAACCGGAGGAAGGUGGGGAUGACGUCAAAUCAUCAUGCCCCUUAUGACCUGGGCUACACACGUGCUACAAUGGAUGGUACAACGAGUUGCCCACUCGCGAGAGUGAGCUAAUCUCUUAAAGCCCUUCUCAGUUCGGAUUGUAGGCUGCAACUCGCCUACAUGAAGUCGGAAUCGCUAGUAAUCGCGGAUCAGCAUGCCGCGGUGAAUACGUUCCCGGGCCUUGUACACACCGCCCGUCACACCAUGAGAGUUUGUAACACCCAAAGUCGGUGGGGUAACCUU
rnacentral:rRNA from 1 species